GAACGCUGGCGGCAGGCUUAACACAUGCAAGUCGAGCGGAAACGAUGAUAGCUUGCUAUCAGGCGUCGAGCGGCGGACGGGUGAGUAAUGCAUGGGAAUCUGCCCGAUAGAGGGGGAUAGCCCGGGGAAACCCGGAUUAAUACCGCAUAUACCCUACGGGGAAAAGAUCUAUUUAUAGACCUUUCGCUAUUAGAUGAGCCUGCGUCGGAUUAGCUAGUUGGUGAGGUAAAGGCUCACCAAGGCGACGAUCCGUAGCUGGUCUGAGAGCAUGAUCAGCCACACUGGGACUGAGACACGGCCCAGACUCCUACGGCAGGCAGCAGUGGGGAAUAUUGCACAAUGGGCGCAAGCCUGAUGCAGCCAUGCCGCGUGUGUGAAGAAGGCUUUCGGGUUGUAAAGCACUUUCAGUGGGGAGGAAAAGUUAGUCUUUAAUAACUGCUUACCCUGACGUUACCUACAGAAGAAGCACCGGCUAACUCCGUGCCAGCAGCCGCGGUAAUACGGAGGGUGCAAGCGUUGUUCGGAAUUACUGGGCGUAAAGCGCGCGUAGGGGGCUUUUUAAGUCAGAUGUGAAAGUCCUCGGCUCAACCUGGGAACUGCAUUUCGAACUGGCAGGCUAGAGUAUGGUAGAGGAAAGUGGAAUUUCCUGUGUAGCGGGGAAAUGCGUAGAUAUAGGAAGGAACACCAGUGGCGAAGGCGACUCACUGGACCAAUACUGACAGUGAGGUGCCAAAGCGUGGGGAGCAAACAGGAUUAGAUCCCCUGGUAGUCCACGCCGUAAACGAUGUCUAUUAGCCGUUGGGAGACUUGAUCUCUUAGUGGCGCAGCUAACGCAAUAAGUAGACCGCCUGGGGAGUACGGCCGCAAGGUUAAAACUCAAAUGAAUUGACGGGGGCCCGCACAAGCGGUGGAGCAUGAGGUUUAAUUCGAUGCAACGCGAAGAACCUUACCUGGUCUUGACAUCCUACGAACUUACUAGAGAUAGUUUGGGUGCCUUCGGGAACUCUGUGACAGGUGCUGCAUGGCUGUCGUCAGCUCGUGUUGUGAAAUGUUGGGUUAAGUCCCGUAACGAGCUCAACCCUUAUCCUUAGUUACCAGCGGGUUAUGCCGGGGACUCUAGGGAAACUGCCGGUGACAAACCGGAGGAAGGGGGGGACGACGUCAAGUCAUCAUGGCCCUUACGAGUAGGGCUACACACGUGCUACAAUGGGACGUACAAACGGUAGCGAACCCGCGAGGGGGAGCCAAUCUGAGAAAGCGUCUCGUAGUCCGGAUUGGAGUCUGCACCUCGACUCCAUGAAGUCGGAAUCGCUAGUAAUCGUGGAUCAGAAUGCCACGGUGAAUACGUUCCCGGGCCUUGUACACACCGCCCGUCACACCAUGGGAGUUGUUUGCACCAGAAGUAGCUAGCUUAACCUUCGGGGGAGCGUUCACCACGGUGUGGUUGACGACUGGGGUGA
rnacentral:rRNA from 1 species